CAACUCCUCCUGGUCCAACUCCACCAGGUCCGACUCCUCCCGGUCUCACUGCACCCGGUCCGACACCUCCAGGUCCGACUCCUCCUGGCCCUUGACCUCCAUAGCCCCCUGAGGAAAACAGUCAUCAGAACACUCCUCCCAGACUGGCACCAGCACCUCCACCAGGCUGAAAUCCAGUCCCAGCUCCUCCAGGGCCAAAUCCUGUUCCAGUCCCACCCGGUCCGAAUCCAGUUCCAGGUCCUACGCCGGCUCCUAUACCGGCUCCAAUGCCUCCUCCUGCUCCACCAGCAGGUGCUGCACUGCUGAGCGCUGCACACAUGCAGUAAAGAGAACCCACCUCCUUGCAGUGAGGGUUUCCACAGAGCCAAGAGAAAGACGCCAUGAAGGGUAUGAACACCAAGGAAGGUAAAAUAUUAUGAGGAGGUCAGAGAGGUCCAUCAGGCUGCAAGACGAGAGGUUAAAUACACACUGUCCAGAAAAUGAGCAUAGGACAGACAUGUGACAGGAACUGAAGGGGAAAGAUAGGAGGGAUGAUAUGCAAGUCCACGGCCGAGCUCAAACUGGGAAAUUUACUCCAGAGACUCUGAGACGCCCAGUCACAUGAACUUUAAACAACUCCCUAUCUGAGUAAGUGUCUUCCCCACAGUACUCAAUACUCAAACCCACUUGUACUUUUUCACAUCUGACUGCCAUGUGGGGAAAUGCAUGUGGCCUUUGCGCCAAGAAAACAGUCGGCAGAACAAUGGCAGAGAGAACAAGAAAAAAUUUCAGACAGCGGUACAGGCCCUGACCGACAAGGUGCAGAGGCAUUGUGCAAAACUUCAGGUAAGGGAUUUAAACAUGACAGAGAGAAACUAUAUUUGGGAUUUAAUAUCCCAGUCUGUCAGUGCUGAUGGUGUUGCAUGUGGGCGUGACAGCCCGUAUACAUCCGCUUCAGUUACCACCAACUCUGUAAAAACGCUAAGAACUUCACUGUAACUGAGUGUGGCUAGGAGCGCUAAUCUUUGUGAAUUAGACUGUUUUUGAAAUGAGGCUCAUUUGUACUGAAAGGGGGCGAUUUGGUGCCAAAUUUAUGAUGUCAAAUGUAUAAUACUAAUUUAAGUAUUUCUACAUUGUAACAUUAUAUCUUCUAUGCAAGUAACGGUAUAGUAGCCUAAAGCAUCUGAACACACCUUCCACCACUGUCCAGUACACUGCAGCUAGACAAUAUAAGUUAUGAUGUAACUUGACGUGUCUUUUCAGUCUUCUUUUUCCAUUAUACUCUUUGAUUUACAGAUGCAGCAUUUGCGUCAACAGAACUGGAUACACAAAAAUCUGCAGUGCUGUGAGUCAACACGAAGACAUUAAAUUGCCCACUUCAUUCGUUGUUUAUAUCAUACUCCACAGUCAAGCAUUCAGAGAUGUGUCAGUGUUUCUGAGAAUCAAACAUACAUGCUCGGUCAGUGCCUCUCCCGUCAUCACAAAGAAUACAAUAGACAGACAGAGAGCACGAAACUCAUUUUGGCAAAUACUUCAUGAUUAAUGCCCCUCUCCCUUAGGACCCCAUGUUUACGUAAUAGCUUCAGGUCCGCCAGGGCACAGACAGAGGCCUGUGCACACCAGCAUAAACAGAGCACGGUGACACAUUCACUCACUCACAUGCAAAAUAUGAAAUAAACAGUUGCUUUUAUUUAUUGUCAUAAGCCGUGGCAACAAGUGUUUUUAGAGGCAGGAGAGUGAGAACUCAAGACAACUGCACUUUGUAAUGCUCUGUGUGACGGAUGUGUGGUGUGAAAGCCAAGGAAAAGGCAGGAUGUCAUUUGUUGUGACAGUGUCACACUGUCAAGGAGCAGAGCUUAGUGACAGUUAAAACUUUCACCUGUGACUCAAUCAAA